UACGUAGGGGGCGAGCGUUGUCCGGAUUUAUUGGGCGUAAAGCGCGCGCAGGCGGCGUGCAGAGCCCGGCGUGAAAGCCCCCGGCUCAACCGGGGGAGGUCGUCGGGGACUUGCAGGCUUGAGGCCGGUAGGGGCGAGCGGAAUUCCCGGUGUAGUGGUGGAAUGCGUAGAGAUCGGGAGGAACACCAGUGGCGAAGGCGGCUCGCUGGACCGGUCCUGACGCUCAGGCGCGAAAGCGUGGGGAGCGAUCCGG
rnacentral:rRNA from 1 species